AUGGCUGUUGUUAUCCAAAAAGGAGACGAGCUUGGACGUGUUUUGGUGCAGGUGCAGAAUGAUUUAAGUCAGCUGAGGAAGCGGCUGGGGCGCGCAGAGCAGUGCGGGACUGUGGAUGUUCGAGCUCUGGAUGAGGCGAUACGCAGGACAGAGGACAGCGUCAAGACCCAUGCAGAGGAAUAUCUAAAAACAGUAAAUAAACAAGUACUGACUCUUCCUGUUAUUGAACAUGUUGAGAAGAAAAAUGUGAAGAUUGCCAAAUGGCAACCAUUCACUGAGUCUAUUCCAUAUCUUCCAUCUCAGAAUUAUCAUGGUGCUAUAUCAUCUUCUGGAGAGAAGCACAAGAUAGCUUUCACAAUGCGUGUUUUAUGCAACCCUGACCACCCAAAACACAGAGACCUGAUGCAUCAGAACUAUGGCAUUCAACAUCCUGAUCUGUACAAGAAACCUGGGCCUACUUUAGGAACUCAGAAAACCCUGAGCUCUACUGCUGUUCUUCCUAUAGACCAGAACAGAAAUGCAUCUCCUCUGUGUAACAAGGACAAGAAUCUGCAAAUACUUCAAGGAAAAGAGCAGAGGGAGAGAAGACAAAAUAAGGACGUCACCAUAGCUUUCAAAACCAUUGCUGAAUGCCCGCCUGUUUGGGCCACACUGACUCCGCCUCCCACUGCUGCCUCUGAUAGCAGACGCCUUCCCCAUGGACCAGGACGACUCACGCCACUAAACUCUCAGUGUGUUCCAGCAUUACCAUCAGCUCCUAGUAGUCAACACUUCUUCAGUAUAGUGGAGGGGCAAAUUGAUCCAAGUGCUGCUGACUUCUGUGCUUUUAAGGAGCACUACUGUCUAAGUUGGAGUACUUUGCUAGAGAUGGUGAGGCAGCUUGAGCAGCUGCUGUGCCAGUUUGCUGUGCCUCAUGCACUUGUGUGUGGCGAUCGACUUGUGGCCUUGGCACAGAGUGGUGACCCACGAAGGGGCAGACAGGAGUGCCUCCUGUCCGCUCUGGAGAACAGAGAGGAAGUGCUAAAGCUGAUGAAGCAGCCUGGCCAGUGCUACAAGGGUAAAGGUGGCCGUUGGGCAGCUGCUGUGUGCAUCCAGGCCUGCUGGAGGUGCUAUCGUACUCGCACUGCUUACUUGCAUCAACAGAGACGUAAGUGGGCGGCCAGAACCAUUGCAAUUUCCUGGCUAUUGCAUGCUCAACUGAGCCGCGUGAGAAAGAGUCUGCAGGCCACCCGCCUCCGUCACCUGGAGAAUUACCACAACAGAGCAAAGCAUUUGGCCACAAACUGGGACCAAUUUAUCACCUCCAAGAGGACCAUUAUUCACGUGCCCUCAUUAGGAUACUCUCAGCACCUGCGCCACAGCCUAAAAAGCUUUGACAUACUGCAGAACACUCAGAUGGGUCGGCUGUGUGACAUUAGAGAUAAGAAUGUGGAGGUGAUCUAUGUGUGUCCGGUGCAACUGGGAGAAGACUUAAUCCACUACUACACUCAUCUGCUGGGCCUAGACGCAGCUAUUGAGACAGGGAAGCCAACCCCUUCUAGCUGUGCCAAAAGUUUUACCAUCCUUACACCUGAGGCACAUCAGCACUUUCCAAGCCACUGCAUGUGUGUGUCCACACUGCUGAAGUACAGCCCACACACAUUGCGCCUUAUUAAGGGCCAGAUCCAGGGAAAACAGGCCUAUUUAGUCGGUGGUUUCCCCCACAUGGAUGAUCUGGCUGUGGCUGAUGAGUUAGGAGUGCCAUUCCUAGGCCCGGAGCCUGCUGUAGCACAGCUCUAUGGCACAAAGUCUGGAAUCAGGAGGAUCUUCAGCAGCAGUGGGGUUAGCAUGCCUCCUGGACACGCUGACAUAUACACACUGCAGCAGCUGCAUGAGCGUUUUGCCCAGCUGCUGACAGAUCAUUUGGAGGUGCAGCGCUGGCUGUUUAAGAUGGAUGACGAUUUGGAUGGCCGGGGCACAGCCUACUGUGAUGUCUGUCAUGUGAGCUUCCGGCCUUGGGCUUUGCAGGAGUAUAAUCGCCAUGGACCGCAAAUCUGGAGCAUGGCUUGGGCUCAGGAACAAGUGCUAAAAAAGUUUUUGGAGGCAGUACCUGCUCUGUUUACUACCCAUGCUAAGCCUUUUGACACAGCCCGCUAUCCAACCUGGAGCUGCUUCCUGGAACACUUUCUCAGAAAAGGUGGUGUGAUUGAGGCUUACCCUCCUUCAGAUAGCGUAACCUCUAUGACUGUAGAUCUUCUGGUGGAGCCGGGUGGAGGAAUACGCAUGCUCACAUGUGGAGAUCAGCUGCAUGGGCCUGGUCUGCUGCAGAUUUUAGGCUGCUCUGUACCACAGAGUUCGGUGUGCCCUGAUGACCUCUACUCCAUCUGCAUGCAGCUAGGCAAAGCCUGCCAGGAGCGACACAUCCUGGGACAUUUUUCCGUAGACCUGGUCACCUUCCUGAAGCCUGGAACGCUGGAACAGCAGGUGUGGGCUGUUGAUCUAGAUCUAGGCUACAGUAACCAGCUGGCUAUGACCCAGAUCAUGCUCCAUAUGACAGGAGGAACACUGAACUGCCACAAAGGUCGUCUGGAGAUUCCUUCUCCAGUCCAGAACAACAAGCCCACUACACACCUGAGAUCUACAACAGCUGAUGCUCCAAGGCAAGCAACAAGUCAUUUUGCAGUGAUGAGCAGCCGACUGUUUCAUACCAACCUCUCUAUGGUUCACUACAGCGUAUUCUUUCAGAUGUGCAAGGCACAUGGCAUCGGAUUUAACAUCAAGAAAAGACAAGGCUCUGUGUUUGCCCUCCAUGACAGAGCCGAAAGGAGCAGCCUUGGCAUGAUUCUCACCUAUCACUCACAGUAUUUACAACUAUCAGCGUUCUCCAAGGACUUAAUUUACCACCUACACAUUUCACAACAAAUACCUCAAAUAAAAAAACAACAGCCCUCUUUAAGCCUGAGAGCUCUCAUUAAGCUCCCAGCAGCCCCGGCAGUCAAACAAGAACAAUCUCACCAGAUCUCCAGGGAGCACUGCUGACCUUUGCUCGCAACCUCACUGUCAUUCAUCAAGAAAUAUCAGCUCCGAAUAUGCAAGGAGAGACCAAUUUUAAGGACCUGAUUAAGAAUAUCGAGAAGGUGCUGGAUGUAAUCAAACGGAACACUGACAAUGAGCAUAAAGACAAAGAGAAAUGUUGAGAUG